UGCCUUAGUAACGGCGAGUGAAGCGGCAAAAGCUCAAAUUUGAAAUCGGCCACCAGGUCGAGUUGUAAUUUGUAGAUUGUAUCUUGAGAGCGGAUUAAAGUCUGUUGGAACACAGCGCCUUAGAGGGUGACAGCCCCGUAAAAUCUACUCAUUGUAAGAUACUUUCGAAGAGUCGAGUUGUUUGGGAAUGCAGCUCUAAGUGGGAGGUAAAUUCCUUCUAAAGCUAAAUAUUGACGAGAGACCGAUAGCGAACAAGUACUGUGAAGGAAAGAUGAAAAGCACUUUGAAAAGAGAGUGAAAAAGUACGUGAAAUUGUUAAAAGGGAAGGGUAUUGAAUCAGACUUGGUGUGUUGUUCAACUGUGUUUCGGCAUAGUGUACUCAGCAGUACUAGGCCAAGGUGGGGUGUUUGGGAGUGAAAAAGAAGUUGGAACGUAACUCUUCGGAGUGUUAUAGCCUACAAAAUUUCAUAGCUCCUCAGGCGCCUCAGGACUGCGCUUCGGCAAGGACCUUGGCAUAAUGAUUCUAUACCGCCCGUCUUGAAACUUGA
rnacentral:rRNA from 1 species